CUCAUUUAGGCGUCAAAACCUUCUUUUACUGUCUAUGGUCAAAACAAAACUGCUGUUCAGAACUCUAUGGGUGACGUCACGGACGCUACGUCCAUAUUUUUUUACAGUCUAUGGUCAUAAUCGAACACGGAGGAGAAAAGCGGCGCGGAUGCUGUCAAAUGGACAGAUGAUCACGUGUUUAUCCGGUGGAGGAAUGAUGCCAUCAAAGGCUUUGAAGCUUUGGUGGAGCAGGACCUGCAAGAAAAGCUGACGACAGUAUUUGUUAGAAAAAAAAGAGGAAAACCUGAAACAAAAUAAAAAUAUAUAUAAAGAUGUGAAUGUCCUGAUGGAGAGACACAGCAGAUCCUGGGAAUGGUUCAGUGUUAUGGACGAGAUCGUCCAUCACUCCUCCUUCCAAGUGACUCGAUCAAGGACACACUGGAGGAAACGCUGCAGAGAUCGAACCAGCAACCUUCUGCUGACCAGCUCAGUGGUUUAGACCACCACACCACAAAACUAAUGAAGCCAUGACAAGAAUUAGCAAUUGAAAAAUAUGAAAUGAAAUAUGCAAGAAACAGAAUGCUGACAUGAAUUAAUUGUAAAAUGUUUUAAUCUGCUGAUGGAGAGCACAUGAAUGUUUGCAGCAGCAGAUUGUCCCGCACAUCUUCUCCCACUCCUGCUCCAAGGUUGAGGGGUUCAGGGCUCCAUCAUCAUCAUCAUCAUCAUCAUCAUCUUCAGCAGUGAGGAACAUGAUGAUGAAGGUGUUCAUCAGCUGCUUGAUCAGAAUAAAGCUGCAGAAUUGGCACAGCUGUGUUGAGAUGACAACAGGACUGUAAAUACCUGAUUGUUAGAUCAAUACAUUUGAAUAAAGCUUUGUUUCGUGUGUUGUUGACUUGUAUAUGCAUUUAUUUGUCAUUAUUACUUUUAUUAAUUCUUUACUUAUUAAUUAUGCUAUUAUCAGUAAAUGUAUAUAUUUUAAUAAGCAAUGAAUUAAUGCAUGAAUUGACUGUAAAUGGAGAUGUAUUCACAUCAGCUGUAUUUGUCUAGUGUGUGUUCAUGCACAGCUGUCAUAUAACUAAACAUUACAUUUUGCUUGUUUUAUUAAAGAAGUAAAAUGAAAAGUAAUAUAAUUAAGUUUUGGUCAGCAUU